rnacentral:rRNA from 1 species
AGAGUUUGAUCAUGGCUCAGGGUAAACGCUGGCGGCGUGCCUAAAACAUGCAAGUCGAACGCACAUCCUUGUGGUGUGAGUGGCAGACGGCUGAGUAACGCGUGGGUGACGUACCCGAUGGUGGGGAAUAACUGCCCGAAAGGGUGGCUAAUACCGCAUACGCCUGUUGGAUCAAGCCAGCAGGGAAAGUCGCAAGACGCCAUUGUUCGAGCGGCCCGCGUUCGAUUAGCUGGUUGGUGGGGUAACGGCCUACCAAGGCGACGAUCGAUAGCUGGUCUUAGAGGAUGAUCAGCCAGACUGGGACUGAGACACGGCCCAGACUCCUACGGGAGGCAGCAGUUAGGAAUUUUGGGCAAUGGGCGCAAGCCUGACCCAGCAACGCCGCGUGGGUGACGAAGGCCUUCGGGUUGUAAAGCCCUUUUCUGAGGGAAGAUAGUGACGGUACCUCAGGAAGAAGCACCGGCUAACUACGUGCCAGCAGCCGCGGUA